rnacentral:tRNA from 1 species
GGGGACGUGGUGCAGCCUGGUUUAGCAUGCCGGUCUGUCACACCGGUGGUCGCGGGUUCAAAUCCCGUCGUCCCCG